GGGUCGAAGCUGUUUCUCCUUCUUUGCACUUUCCGACGUGUUACCGACAUGUUUCCAUCGCCAAAGAAAUUAAAAAUAAAAAUAGUUAACGGUGUUAAACGGCCGUUAAGACGAAGGGGCUAAUUACUCGAAAUUAAGGACUUCGAGGGUUUAGUUGGACCAACUUCGACUAUAGGAAUCUAUAGUCGAUAUGGACCUCUAUGUUAGGGACUUAUUUGAUACUUAACCCUAUUUUUAUAUAUUCACAACAUGAAAGUCACAAAAGGGGAGAUCAACGCACAUCUUCAAGCUUAUUGCAGAAUGUCACCAUUUCACACCUGCUCACCUUCUCAUCCCUCAAUUUGUGGGUUUAUACCCACGCUUUCCCUCAAAAGCGAAAUUGCAGCCACCACUAUUUUCACAGAGUUCUGGCAGGGCUAAAAUCAGAUCAUGAAUCCUAAAUCGUCAAAUCAGACCGUGAAUCCUGCUAGUAGCAAUUAACACAGACCUUGUUGUUGGAUUGCGAUUGGAGCUCUCAGAGCCGUCGUGACGCCGCCAUACAAGGUCGGAUCGGUCCUGGAUUGGCUACAUCGUCGUCACCUCUGACGCUCUCUAUCGCCGCGAGAUUUACAUCGUCUGGUGCGGCACCUCCUGCCGCCGCGCAGCUAUAGCCGGAUGAGAGAAAGAAANAUGGGAGGGAGAGAGAGUGGAAAGAGAGAGAAAGAGAGCGCUAGAGAGAAAGAGAGAGAGAGCUUUCUGUAGAG
rnacentral:lncRNA from 1 species